AGAGUUUGAUCAUGGCUCAGGACGAACGCUGGCGGCGUGCUUGAUACAUGCAAGUCAAGGAGAACAUUGUCUUCGGAUAAUAAGUAAACUGGCGAACGGGUGAGUAACGCGUAAAUAACUUGCCUCAGAGAUUGGGACAACAUUGGGAAACCAGUGCUAAUACCAAAUAAUGCAGCGGGCUCUUCGGAGCAUUGUUGUUAAAGUAGGCUUCGGCUUACACUUUGAGAUAGGUUUGCGUCCGAUUAGUUUGUUGGUGGGGUAAUUGCCUACCAAGACUAAGAUCGGUAGCUGGUCUGAGAGGAUGAUCAGCCACACUGGAAUUGAGAUACGGUCCAGACUCCUACGGGAGGCAGCAGUAAGGAAUUUUGCACAAUGGGCGAAAGCCUGAUGCAGCAACGCCGCGUGAACGAUGAAGUUUUUAGGAAUGUAAAGUUCUGUCGUAUGGGAAGAGAUCUUUCGAAUGUUAAUACCAUUCGUUAAUGACGGUACCAUACAAGAAAGCACCGGCUAACUUCGUGCCAGCAGCCGCGGUAAUACGAGGGGUGCUAGCGUUGUCCGGAUUUACUGGGCGUAAAGGGUACGUAGGCGUUUUAAAAAGUUGAAUGUUAAAUAUCUUAGCUUAACUAAGAAAGUGCAUUCAAAACUGUUAAAAUAGAGUUUGAGAGAGGAACGCAGAAUUCAUGGUGGAGCGGUGACAUGCGUAGAUAUCAUGAGGAAAGUCAAAUGCGAAGGCAGCCUUCUGGCUCAAAACUGACGCU
rnacentral:rRNA from 1 species